CUAAUAAUGGAGCAAAGUUGACUGCACAAUUUUUCUGUUGCUUCAGUUUUGUCUGGUAAAUAAAAUGCCUGGAAGGACAAAACAAAAAUGUCUAAUGGAAUAUAAUUCAAGAUAAGUAGGAGAAAACCUGAAAACAUCCAGCUGCCUUUGAUGAGUUUAGGUCACUAGGUCCAGAUGAACCACAUCUUCAAGUAUUAAAAGACCUUGAAAAAGUGAUUGCUGAACCACUUUCAGGGAUCUUUGAAGGGCCUCAGAGAAUAAGAGAGGCUUACGAAAUUCUUCACUCAAAGCAUCACUGUCAGAUUGGUCUUGUGGAAAAGAAGCUGCCCUUGUUAGCAAACCAAGUUCAAGAGUUUUGGAACUCAUCCUUGCUGAGAGAGAAAUCAAGUAAAGUCAAGAGGCAUUUAUUAAGCACCAGUGAGCUACCUUUUAUGACAACAACUUUGAAAAAAAAGAGAAAAAAAUUAAUUGAGAAAAACCUGACAUCAUAUAUAAUGUUUGACACCUGUGGAUGUCUACCACAUUGUGUCCCCAACAGUCACAGAAAAAGCAGAGUCAAGACAAUGUAUGUAUACUCUGGGAGCCUGAAAUAAAUGAAAAAGCUGACUUCAAGAGUGGGCCUGCUUGUUUGACACCUCUGAGCAUCAGUGAAGUACAAAUUGGAGGACAAAUUAAGGCCAGGUUUGGGAGUUCUGGAUUUGAUGGAAAGCAGAGAAGAGGGAACCCAUUGAAAGAGGAAAGAAGAUAUGUCUUUUCAUAUGAUGUUAAGUUGGAAGGGGCCUCAGAUGUCAUCUAUCCUGACACCCCAAUUUUACAGAUAAAGAAGCUAAUGGCUAAGAAGGUUGCGACUCAUCCAAGCUCACUUAGAAAACAACUGUCAGAAGUAGAGUCUGAACUUCAUUCUUCUGACUCCUUCCAUCAAUCUUUCCAGUUUAAAUGACAUUUUCUCCCCUGAAGAUUAAAUAGCAUGGGAAUUAAAAAUCUUUCUGGAAGAUGUAUGGUAAAGUUAUUACUUGAAGAUAUACUGCAUAAUUGAGAUGAAUGUGAUAUGUUGUCCAGAGUCCUUGGCCCAUAUGUAUUAUUUUCCAAGAAAUGUGUGUAAAAUAUAAUUGUCCAUAAUCUUUAAUAAAGAUUAAGCUAUGAAAACA
rnacentral:lncRNA from 1 species